ensembl:misc_RNA
GGGGGGGGGGGAGGGCGAGAUGUUGGGUGACGACCUGAGGCGGUGGGGACAGGUCAG